AACAAACGCUGGCGGCGUGCCUAAUACAUGCAAGUCGAACGAGGUAGCAAUACCUAGUGGCGCACGGGUGAGUAACGCGUGGAUAAUCUGCCCUUCAGUGGGGAAUAACUCUCCGAAAGGAGAGCUAAUACCGCAUAAGACCACAGUGACUUUGGUCACAGAGGUUAAAGGAGCAAUUCGCUGAAGGAUGAGUCCGCGUCAGAUUAUGGUAGUUGGUGGGGUAACGGCCUACCAAGCCUUCGAUCUGUAGCUGGUCUGAGAGGAUGAUCAGCCACACUGGAACUGAGACACGGUCCAGACUCCUACGGGAGGCAGCAGUAGGGAAUAUUGGUCAAUGGGCGAAAGCCUGAAUCAGCAACGCCGCGUGAGCGACGAAGGCCUUAGGGUUGUAAAGCUCUGUUGCAAGGGAAGAAAAAAAUGACGGUGCUUUGCGAGAAAGGACCGGCCAACUUCGUG
rnacentral:rRNA from 1 species